GUAUUAUUUGCAGCAUAUUUUCGACGGAUUUCUUCCUCAGACGUUUUUUGCGCACUUGGCGCAAAUGUCUCCUCAUCACCAUUUUGCGCUUCAGCUGCUGCUGAAUGUUACAGGAUCCAGACCCGAGGUGGAAAUGGAUUCUCCGAAACGAGCUCAUCAUGUCACGGAGAGAAAAACGAGCUCCAUCACAUGAUAGACGACGUGCGUCGGCGGCUCAAAGACAUUCAUCGCUCAGUGUUCAGAGCAGAUGACGUUCUACAACAGGAAACCCUUCACGUCUCAGCGUGAAACAGCAAACUGCCAGAGGAGAUGCAGCUCACAGCCUGUGUGGCAGAUGGGACACUCUUCUAAGGAAGUCAACACCCCUGAAGCUGCUUGAGCUCAAACAAUAACUACACUAAUGAAGAAUAACAUACAACAAUCAAGUAUCUUCCGGCGUUUUUGUGUCUUGUGAGUAUUAAAACAAGCUUAACAUCCCCUCUCCCAACAGCUCAGGGCCAGUCAGCUGCCUCCCAGCCCAGCUAUGGCUCCCCCUAGCCGUGCCUCCAUAUUUCCUUGUUAAUGCACACCAUAGUGCCCUGACCCUCCCUGUUCUAAUACACAGCAAAGACACCAAAAUACACCUGAAAACCUGACUUUCUCUCUCUAAAUGUGGAGUUUAUAGUCUCCAACCACCUUCCAGCCAACAUUGGGCACCACUGGCCAAAGCAGAAGAGAGGAUUUCUUACCUUUUGAGAGUGGCUGUGACUAAACCUCCCUCUCCAAAGUCCCAACCUCGACAGCCUCCUUCUUCUUCCCAGCAAUCCCUGCAAAAAAGGACACUUCCAUGUAUGUUGACUAUGUAGGGGUGAUCAAAUUGGUCUAAAGUAAUUUUAAAGAGCCCAGAAGGCCCCCAAAACACUAAAAUGGCCCUUUUGGCCCCAAAUACAUUAAAGCUCCAAAUUACCAUUUUAAAAUGGCAUGUGAAUGGCAUUAAACAGUAAAGCCCACUCCUCACAUACACCAUGUCCCACCCCUAUGGUUUGAACUUAUUCUGGUCCAUUCAGCAGUCAUACAGUUGAUACUGAAGAACAAUUGUCAGUCAGUGCGCAGCUGAACUCUGAGGCGCUUUUUGCUGCCUUUUGUGCGUUUGCCAAGCCCUGGAGCAUCUCUGGGAGGCUACAAAUAGCCCAUUGGUGGUAUUUAUGAGUCAAAGAGACCCUUUUCUUGUGGACUGGACCAAAAAAACUGGAAGGGAAAUAUUUACAUGUGCGUAGAAUCCAGCCAGGCAAAGAGAGCGCUAUGGAUCCAAAUGGACCUCUCCAAAAGUGCGCAGGUGUUUCCAAAGGCAAACGAGCUCUUUAAAGGCUCCAGGAGAAAAAAGGAGAAGUUUAUCCUGCUUAAAAGGUAAUUAUAAUAAUAAUUCUGCUCACAUUUGACCAAUUUUACCCAAAAAUUAAAAGCUGGAGUCAAAUAUUGUCGAAUUUAAAGACCAUUUAACUGUAAAGUGCAUCGAGAAAAAUGUACCAAAUGGCGCAGGUGGCACUUUAGACCGUAAAGUAAAUAAUAUCACGUGUUUAAAGAUAUUAUUUGCUUAAUUAUAUUUGUGUGAAUAUUGACAGCACUAUGGCACAGCUCACAAAUUGAAAUUACUGUCUGUCUGCCCAACAGCAGGCGAAAACCUGAGCUUAAACGCACCUAAUCUGUGCGCCAAGUAGCCACGGUCUGGUCCUUUAUCCAGGGCUGAAUAAGCAACAAUUUAAUCCUGUAGCAAAAAAUAAAUAAAUAAAUAAAUAUAUAGGCUGUACAUACGAACAUCCAUGCAGACAAAUCCAAUGGAUUCUUAGGUGGAGGAGUGACUGCGCCGGCGGUUGAAGCUGUUUUCCCCCAAACAAACCCCUAUGCAAAUUAUACUGGCAGCUGCCUGCAAAGCGUUAAAGACCAGUCCUGUUCCCCUUAAAGCCUGGCUGGUGCCUGUGAUGUUUACGUCGUACAUUACAACAGCACAUAGACACAAAUAUGAUGGGCGUUUGCCUCCGUGCGUGUCCAGACCUGAUCCUACAGCAGGUUAAAGACCCCGCAUCCCCUCACUGAGACACCAAGCCUCAGGCAGCAGCAGCAGCAGCAGCAGCACAAGAGAAGCCCUGUCCUCUCUGCGGUUUGUAGUGGAAGAAAAAACAGCAACAAAAAGGCGAGUGUUCGUCAGAAAUAAUCAAGCCUCCGUUAUCUGCUCAGAAACAACCGUCCCCAUCAGCGCUCAGACUGUACUGUUGGUAAAAGCAAGCGCAUGUAGCCCGUCAGCACCAAAGCACAGCCGGAGCUGCAGCCGGACGCACGCCUGUCCUCAUUGUGCAUUUGUCGCAGCAGCUGUCAAACAGAUCCUGUUUCAGACUGAUGCCACAGUGUGAUGAAUACUCACAGGCUCUAUAUGAUGCCCUGCUGGAAUAACCACACUUUUGCAACAUCAGCUGUGCGUCGGUCGGCGGUCAAAAUGCGUAAUAUUUAGGCUGCAGGGUGACAAACAGCUUCUGUUGCAAGACGGUCUUGUGUUUUUUUAGCUGGGGGGCAGGAGGAGCGAGCUGGUGACGGUUUGAAAGCCGCAUUAAUGAUGCCUGGAGGCAGUGAGUAUAAACACAACUGUGAGUACAAAUCAACCGAAGUGUAUCCACCGCUCCCUGUUUUUAUCCUCAAUGUGUUGUAUUCAUCAUUUUCUAUGCUCUGGAGGACACAGCUCUUUUAUUGUAAGCCUAUUUAUUUGGAUAUAAGACUGUAUUUCAGCAUACAGGCUCACUGUAUUGUCUAAUGUGACACUAAACAAGCCC